GACGAACGCUGGCGGCGUGCUUAACACAUGCAAGUCGAACGGAAAGGCCCUGCUUUUGUGGGGUGCUCGAGUGGCGAACGGGAGAGUAACACGUGAGUAACCUGCCCUUGACUUUGGGAUAACUUCAGGAAACUGGGGCUAAUACAGGAUAGGAGAUCCUGCUGCAUGGUGGGGGUUGGAAAGAUUCGGCGGUUGGGGAUGGACUGGCGGCUUAUCAGCUUGUUGGUGGGGUAGUGGCUUACCCAGGCUUUGACGGGUAGCCGGCCUGGGAGGGUGACCGGCCACGUUGCGACUGAGAUGCGGCCCAGACUCCUACGGUAGGCAGCGGUGGGGAAUAGUGCACAAUGGGCGGGAGCCUGAUGCGGCGACGCCGCGUGCGGGAUGACGGCCUUCUGGUUGUAAACCGCUUUCGCCUGUGACGAAGCGUGAGUGACGGUAAUGGGUAAAGAAGCACCGGCUAACUACGUG
rnacentral:rRNA from 1 species